AGUGAAAACCUAUAGAACUGUCAUUUCAUUUUACUUCCUGUGAUUAUCCAAUACCUAUUUGAAAAUUUUUAUCAAGAUUUUCAUAAAUAAAAAGGAUGGCAGUGAGGUUGUUAUCGAAAAUUCGGCUCGUGCCGGAGUUGCGAGGCGCGGCGUAUAGCUCUGCCGCUGCCCAGCUCUCCGAUUUUGAAGUGCAACACAAAACCCCUGUAAUUCGCAAGCAGAAAAUCAUCCCUGUGGCUCAGUAUGGAGGACGGCAUGCUGUUACGAUGUUACCUGGAGGAGGAAUCGGCCCAGAGGUCAUGGGUUACGUGAGGGAGAUUUUCAAGUACAUUGGAGCACCCAUAGACUUUGAAGUUGUAGACAUUGACCCAACUGUGGACAAUGAUGAGGAUGUACAGUAUGCUAUUACAACUAUUAAGAGGAAUGGUGUUGGACUUAAGGGUAAUAUAGAGACAAAGAGCGAGGCAGCGUACGUAACAUCGCGUAACGUGGCUCUGCGUAACGAACUGGACAUGUACGCUUACGUCCUGAACUGCAAAUCCUUCCCUGGCGUACCCACCAGGCAUAAGGAUAUUGAUGUUGUCAUUAUUAGACAAAACACAGAAGGUGAAUAUGCUAUGCUGGAGCACGAGUCUGUCUAUGGUGUGAUCGAGUCUAUGAAAGUAGUGACGGCGACCAAUUCUGAACGAGUAUGCCGUUUCGCCUUCGAGUUUGCUAAGAGAAACGGAAGAAAGAAGGUAACCACAGUCCACAAAGCCAACAUAAUGAAGCUGUCGGACGGGUUGUUCCUGGAGACGUCGCGCCGGCUCGCCAGAGACGAGUACCCCGAGAUCGAGCACAACGACAUGAUCAUCGACAACUGCUGCAUGCAACUGGUUGCCAAGCCGCACCAGUUCGACGUGAUGCUGAUGACGAACCUGUACGGCUCCAUCGUGUCCAACGUGGUGUGCGGACUGCUGGGCGGCGCUGGACUGCUGUCGGGCAGGAACUACGGCGACCACUACGCGGUGUUCGAGCCCGGCACCAGGAACACCGGCACAGCCAUAGCGGGCAAGAACAUCGCCAACCCCAUAGCGAUGAUCAACGCGUCGGUCGACAUGCUGGAGCACCUGGUCCACCACUACCACGCCGACCUCAUCAGGCGAGCGGUCAACAAAACCAUCAAUGUGGACAAGGUGAGUUACAUUGCGUUUGACCCCUCUAGCACAUCGCCAACCCCAUAGCGAUGAUCAACGCGUCGGUCGACAUGCUGGAGCACCUGGGCCACCACUACCACGCCGACCUCAUCAGGCGAGCGGUCAACAAAACCAUCAAUGUGGACAAGAUUGUGACCCCAGACGUCGGUGGUACAGCUUCCUCCACCGAGGUUGUGAACAAUAUUAUGGGUAAUAUUGGUCGUUGUUAAACUU
rnacentral:misc_RNA from 1 species